rnacentral:rRNA from 1 species
AGCGAACGCUGGCGGCGUGCCUAACACAUGCAAGUCGAACGUGAAAGGGAGCAAUCCCAAGUAAAGUGGCGUACGGGUGAGUAACACGUAGGUAAUCUACCCCAGAAUCUGGAAUAACCGGCCGAAAGGCUGGCUAAUACUGGAUAGAGCGACGGAAUCCAUAAUUGGGUUUUUCGGGAAAGGGAGCCUGUAAAAAGGCCUUCGUUCUGGGAUGAGCCUGCGUCCCAUCAGCUAGUUGGUGAGGUAAAAGCUUACCAAGGCAAUGACGGGUAGCUGGUCUGAGAGGACGAUCAGCCACACUGGAACUGAAACACGGUCCAGACUCCUACGGGAGGCAGCAGUGGGGAAUCUUGCGCAAUGGACGAAAGUCUGACGCAGCAACGCCGCGUGAGUGAAGAAGGCCUUCGGGUUGUAAAGCUCUGUCGAGUGGGACGAAAAUGCUUGGAGUUCACAGCUCCAGGAACUGACGGUACCACUAAAGGAAGCACCGGCUAACUCCGUG